AGAAGUAACCUGCUGAUGUGAUAAAUUCCCAGGGUGUCCCGAGCUAUUUAUACAACUCGCUAUCAUAAUCGCUAGGAUGACGACAACAAGAUUUAUUGAUGAUUACAAUAGUCCAAAUAUCGGCGAGUGAGAAAAAUUAACAACCGAAACCGCAACAGAGGAU